CGGCUUUCAUUUUUCAAGAGAAUAACGUUUUAAACCUUGAACUAACCCUUUUCUUUAAAUUUUCUUCUUGUUUUUUCAAUUUAUCUUUAUUUUCUUAAUCUUAAUUAUUCGAAAAGCCUAAGCCUGCAUUAGAUACCACUCAAUCAUAGAAUCCUUUAUUUCAUAAGAAAAAAAUAUCAGAACAAGAAGAAUCACAUUGGUGAUCCUCACCAACUUAAUAAAAACAUUGCUUAUACACA
rnacentral:lncRNA from 1 species